rnacentral:rRNA from 1 species
UACGAAGGGGGCUAGCGUUGUUCGGAUUUACUGGGCGUAAAGCGCACGUAGGCGGAUCUUUAAGUCAGGGGUGAAAUCCCGAGGCUCAACCUCGGAACUGCCUUUGAUACUGGGGGAUCUCGAGUCCGGGAGAGGGAUGCGGAAUUCCAGGUGUAGCGGUGAAAUGCGUAGAUAUCUGGAGGAACACCGGUGGCGAAGGCGGCAUCCUGGACCGAGAUUGACGCUGAUGCGCGAAAGCCAGGGGAGCAAACAGG